rnacentral:rRNA from 1 species
GACGAACGCUGGCGGCGUGCUUAACACAUGCAAGUCGAGCGGUAAGGCCCUUUCGGGGUACGACGAGCGGCGAACGGGUGAGUAACACGUGGGUGACCUGCCCUCCAGCUCUGGGAGUAAGCCUGGGAAACGUAGGGUCGUAAUACCGGAUAUGACUCCAUGACGCAUGUUGUGGGGUGGAAAGCCUUGUGCGGCUGAGGA